UCCUAAUUGCUCUGUAACCCUAGCUUUCCUUUGUGUUCUUCAUUCCUGCCGGGACCUAAUGAAUUUUAUUUGUCUAACUAAUUCCGUGGGUGAAAGAAUGGCGAAUAAAUUCCUCUCUUGGUUCGGUAUGUAUCCUCCUAAGCCCUUAUUUCCUGAUUUAGAUUUCUGAUAUUUUCAAUCUUUGCCCAAACAAAACUCAGUUUAGGAAUGAAACCAAGUUAAUUUCUGUAAGCUUACCUCUUUAGGAAUGGAAAUCAAGUUAGUGUCUGUAAAUAUGAGGAAGCUCUUAAAAGCCAGAAUGUAUCUAGAAUGUUGAGCGAGCACCCUAAGCGGAUGGCCAGCUGCCAGGCGAGGGUGAGGUCGAAGAAAAGGGGAAUGGCCAGCUGCCGAGGAAGCAACUACAGAAUGAGAUGAUGAGGCUGAAGCUGAAGCUGAAGAAAAACAAGAGGAGGAUGAGGAAUAAGAAGACGACGAAGAGAAAGAGGAGACGUAUUUAGUGCUGAUAAUAAUCAACAACACACUAUUGGUAGUUCAAUUGUUGAUGAUGAUGUGGUUGUUUGUCAGAUAUUGAGCAGACUCCCGGUGUAAUCGCUUAUGCGGUUCAAAUGUGUUUGUAAGAGUUGGAAAUCAAUUAUAGAAGAAGAUUCACACUUCAUGAAUUUACACCUUGGCCAUUCGGAAACACGGCCAAGCAUCUUUAUACUCCUUCAAAAGAGUGCUGUCUAUCUCGAAAGAUAUUACAUGUCUUUCUUGUCAGCUAAUUUGUACUUUAAUGGUAGAGAUGUCAAUAUUCGCACCCUAAGCAAGCUAAUUUGUACUUUAAUGGUAGAGAUGUCAAUAUUCGCACCCUAAGCAAAGAACAUUCAAUCUCGUACCGUAAAAUUUUGGGACCCGUUGGUGGUUUGAUCUGUUUCAUUGACAUUUUCGAGUAUACAAUGUUGGCACCAGAGAAGUAGCACCAUGGAUCAAGUCAACGGUGUUCAUGAAUGUAGAAAAUGAGAAUGGCAUUGCAGACGCUCUUGACGGUUCUCCACAUUGUAAUUUCGGUGUGGAUCCUACUACCAAGAAGCAUAAAGUUAUUUUUGUGGUGUGAAGGCAAAUUCCAAGACUUCCCAGUUUGUGAGGUAUUGACUGUAGGGGACAAUACAUGGAGAGUAAUUGGUGAGUUACCACCCUGUUUAAAUAUCGGAAUGGCGACUGUUUCUGUAAAUGGUUCCAUAUAUUGGAAUUUAUUUGGCCCUUUCGGAGUCCUCUGAUAGUGAAGAUGUGGAGUCCCCUGAUGAGGAAGAGGAUUAUACUGAAUGGAUAAUGGCAUUUGAUAUUGGAAGUGAGAAGUUCAGGAUGAUUCCCGUCCCCCCAGUCCCCAAAUCUGAGCGUGAUGAAUCUUUUUCCUUCAACGAGUUCUCACUCUCAGUAAUGGAUGGAUGUCUAGCCAUACUACGUCAAAAUGAUCGAAAAAUCAAAAUGUGGAUAUUUCAUGAUCAUAAUAAAGAGAAUGGAAUUUCUAUUACCAGUAGUGAAAAAGAUUGGACUAGAUUGUCCGUCAGAUUUCCUUCUGAAUUGACUAUUGAACUUCGUCGGUCAGCUAUUUAUGUUCAUUCUGUUUCCGGAACGGACCAGAUAAUCUUGGAAACCUAUAGAGACGCAUAUUACCAUGGCAACGGGAAUGCAAGGGCUGCCAAUUUUUAUUAUUACGACAGGAAAAAGAAGACGUUAAGGAAGCUGGAAAUCAAUGGGAUUACGUCCAUCCCAGAAGAUUGCACAGCUGAAUGUUCAACUUUUGUAGAAAAUCUUUUGUCUGUUCGGAAGAAGGUCUAGCAACAGUGAACCCAGUCUUCAAAAUAGCAGGGAGAUAAAUCCCACUGGAUGUAAACUAGCAGUUCGCAACAACAAUAUAGAGACUCAGUGUGGAAUCUGUGGUGAGAAUGAAGAAACUAUGGAGCAUUUACUUCUGUAAUGCAGGCAUGCCAGACUGGUUUGGAGGGGUAUUAACAUAAACAUUUCUAGGUUUCCAGACAAAGGCGGUGCUGCAGAUGAAAGAUGGCUUUACUCUCUUAUGAUUGGAGCCUGGAUCAUAUGGAAAGAUAGAUGUGAUUCUAUCUUUCAAGGAAAAUCUCUUAACCCACAUCAUAGAAUAAAUUACUUCCUUAGUGCACUCAUGACAUUAAUUCUGCUAGAGUUAUUCCAUGUAGUUUCUUAUCUUCUGAUUGGGAACCUCCGCCGGAGGGCCAGGGCUGGUCCUGAUAGGCAAGCAGGGCAAGCCCCACUUGCAGGCAACACAGGUCCGGGGCAACAAAAAGCUCAUUUCUGAUUGGGGGUUUUCAUUAAACUAAAAAACAGAUAGGCUAAAUUAUUACUUAUAUAAAUUUGAAGGGCUAAAUAUGACUUAUAUAUAUAGUUUAAUAACUAUAAUAUAAAGGAUUUUAGUUUUUUCUCCAUCUCUUUCAUUCUCUUCCCCGGUCAUGCAUCCUCCUUUUUCUUCUUCAUAGGCCAGUUUACUAAUAAUCACAAUCAAUAGACUAUCUAAAAUAGAUUUUUAUUUAAAAACAAAAGCAUUUUUUUACCACUUCACUUAUCUUCCAUUUUUCUUCCAUAAACUAUACAAAUUUUCUUAAUGAUCACUUUUGAUUAUUGUUUUUUUUAUAUUUUAACUGUAGUUGUCUAUUUUUGUAGUAGUAUUCUAUUUGUAAAUUAGAAUUACAAAUUAACUACGCCAUUCAUUCAAAAGAAUU